UUUCCGUAGGUGAACCUGCGGAAGGAUCAUUACAGAGUUCAUGCCCUCACGGGUAGAUCUCCCACCCUUGAAUAUUUAUACCUUAGUUGCUUUGGCAGGCCGUGGAGACACCAUGGGCUCCGGCUUAUGCGUGCCUGCCAGAGGAAACAAACUCUGUUUUUAGUGAUGUCUGAGUACUAUAUAUAGUUAAAACUUUCAACAACGGAUCUCUUGGUUCUG
rnacentral:misc_RNA from 1 species